rnacentral:rRNA from 1 species
AGCGAACGCUGGCGGCAGGCUUAACACAUGCAAGUCGAGCGGGCAUCCUUGUGGUGUCAGCGGCAGACGGGUGAGUAACGCGUGGGAACGGGCCCUUCGGUUCGGAAUAACUCAGGGAAACUUGAGCUAAUACCGGAUACGUGCGAGAGCAGAAAGGUUUAUCUGCCGAAGGAUCGGCCCGCGUCUGAUUAGCUAGUUGGUGAGGUGAUGGCUCACCAAGGCGACGAUCCGUAGCUGGUCUGAGAGGAUGAUCAGCCACACUGGGACUGAGACCCGGCCCCGACUCCUACGGGAGGCAGCAGUGGGGAAUAUUGGACAAUGGGGGCAACCCUGAUCCAGCCAUGCCGCGUGAGUGAUGACGGCCUUAGGGUUGUCAAGCUCUUUUCUCCGGGACGAUAAUGACGGUACCGGAGGAAUAAGCCCCGGCUAACUUCGUG